GCACGUAGUUAGCCGUUGCUUAUUCCUGGAGUACCGUCCCUUCUCUUCCUCCAGAAAAGAGGUUUACAAUCCGAAGACCUUCAUCCCUCACGCGGCGUUGCUGCAUCAGGCUUUCGCCCAUUGUGCAAUAUUCCCUGCUGCUGCCUCCCGUAGGAGUCUGGCCCGUGUGUCAGUGCCAGUGUGGCUAAUCGUCCUCUCAGACUAGCUACAGAUCAUCGACUUGGUAGGCCAUUACCCCACCAACCAUCUAAUCUGCCGCAGGCCCCUCCCAAAGCACACCUCUUGCGAGAGCUUUAAUUAGCGAACCGAAUCGCCAACCAUAUGGGGUAUUAGCAGCCCUUUCGGGCCGUUAUCCCCCUCUUCGGGGCAGGUCACCUACGUGUUACUCACCCGAUCGCCACUAGAACACCUCCGGUAUUGCUACUAAAAGUGUUCCCGUUCGACUUGCAUGCAUGAGGCACGCCGCCAGCGUUCAUC
rnacentral:rRNA from 1 species